rfam:Loxodonta africana unplaced genomic scaffold scaffold_68, whole genome shotgun sequence.
GCAGCGGUGGUUCAGUGGUAGAAUUCUGACCUUCCAUGUGGGAGACCUGGGUUCAGUUCCCGGCCAGUGCA